rnacentral:rRNA from 1 species
GACGAACGCUGGCGGCGUGCCUAAUACAUGCAAGUCGUACGCAUCUUUUUCACCGGAGCUUGCUCCACCGAAAAAGAUGAGUGGCGAACGGGUGAGUAACACGUGGGUAACCUGCCCAUCAGAAGGGGAUAACACUUGGAAACAGGUGCUAAUACCGUAUAAUAGUUUGACCCGCAUGGGUUGAAUUUGAAAGGCGCUUUUGCGUCACUGAUGGAUGGACCCGCGGCGUAUUAGCUAGUUGGUGAGGUAAUGGCUCACCAAGGCAACGAUACGUAGCCGACCUGAGAGGGUGAUCGGCCACAUUGGGACUGAGACACGGCCCAAACGCCUACGGGAGGCAGCAGUAGGGAAUCUUCGGCAAUGGACGAAAGUCUGACCGAGCAACGCCGCGUGAGUGAAGAAGGUUUUCGGAUCGUAAAACUCUGUUGGUAAAGAAGAACAAGGGUGAGAGUAAAAGGUUCACUCCUUGACGGUAUUUACCCAGAAAGCCACGGCUAACUACGUGCCAGCCGCCGCCGUAA